UACAGAGGGGGCAAGCGUUGUUCGGAAUUACUGGGCGUAAAGGGCGCGUAGGCGGUUCGAUAAGUCCCGUGUGAAAUCCCUCGGCUCAACUGAGGAAUGGCACGGGAAACUGACGGGCUUGAGCUCGGGAGAGGGAAGCGGAAUUCCGGGUGUAGCGGUGAAAUGCGUAGAUAUCCGGAGGAACACCGGUGGCGAAGGCGGCUUCCUGGACCGACACUGACGCUGAGGCGCGAAAGCUAGGGGAGCAAACGGG
rnacentral:rRNA from 1 species